CAAGAAGAAGAAGCCAGUCAUUGCUGUGAAGAUGGUUUUUGAAUUGAAGACUACAAGGCCUAUCGUGCUCAUGUUUUGUUCUAGAUGGGAAUCGUGGUCAUAUUUUUGUAUAGAACUUUACUACUCUCUAUUGUGGAUGGGAAAUCACUAGUAUUGUAACUGAAUGGCUUAUUUUGGAUGGUGCAUGGUUUAUGACUCAUUUGAGGCAACAUUUAUAUAUAUGUAUUUGGGUUGAUCUUCUAUUGGAAAUGAAUGUUGGUUUUCUUUUCGUA
rnacentral:lncRNA from 1 species